rnacentral:rRNA from 1 species
UGCAGUCGAACGUGAAAGUCCUUCGGGANGAGUAAAGUGGCGCACGGGUGAGUAACACGUAGGUGACCUGCCUUUUAGAGGGGAAUAACCAGAAGAAAUUUUGGCUAAUGCCGCAUACGAAGCACGGUUUUAAGACUGUGUUUGAAAGAAUGCCUCUGCAUAUGCAUUCGCUAAAAGAUGGGCCUGCGGGACAUUAGCUAGUUGGUGGGGUAAAGGCCUACCAAGGCGACGAUGUCUAUCCGGUCUGAGAGGAUGAUCGGACACACUGGAACUGAGACACGGUCCAGACUCCUACGGGAGGCAGCAGUGGGGAAUAUUGCGCAAUGGGGGAAACCCUGACGCAGCAACGCCGCGUGAGUGAGGAAGGACUUCGGUCUGUAAAGCUCUGUUAAUGUGGAAAAAUGGUAGGCGGUCUAAUAGGCCGUUUAUUUGAUGGUACACAUAGAGGAAGCACCGGCUAACUUCGUGCCAGCAGCCGCGGUAA